GUGGAUUAGAUACCCUGGUAGUCCACGCAGUAAACGAUGAUUACUAGCUGUUUGCGAUACACAGUAAGCGGCACAGCGAAAGCGUUAAGUAAUCCACCUGGGGAGUACGCCGGCAACGGUGAAACUCAAAGGAAUUGACGGGGGCCCGCACAAGCGGAGGAACAUGUGGUUUAAUUCGAUGAUACGCGAGGAACCUUACCCGGGUUUGAACGUAGGGAGACAGGAGUGGAAACAUUCUAUUCAGCAAUGACUGCCUACGAGGUGCUGCAUGGUUGUCGACAACU
rnacentral:rRNA from 1 species